GAUGAACGCUGGCGGCGUGCCUAACACAUGCAAGUCGAACGGAGUUGUCACCAUGAAGUUUUCGGAUGGAUUGGUAACAACUUAGUGGCGGACGGGUGAGUAACGCGUGGGUAACCUGCCUCAUACUGGGGGAUAACAGCUGGAAACGGCUGCUAAAACCGCAUAAGAUCGCAUCACCGCAUGGUGAAGCGGUUAAAUAUCGAAAGAUAGGUAUGAGAUGGGCCCGCGUCUGAUUAGCUAGUUGGUGAGAUAAGAGCCCACCAAGGCGACGAUCAGUAGCCGGCUUGAGAGAGUGACCGGCCACAUUGGGACUGAGACACGGCCCAAACUCCUACGGGAGGCAGCAGUGGGGAAUAUUGCACAAUGGGGGAAACCCUGAUGCAGCGACGCCGCGUGAGUGAGGAAGUGCUUCGGCAUGUAAAGCUCUAUCAGCAGGGAAGAAGAUGACGGUACCUGACUAAGAAGCCCCGGUAACUACGUG
rnacentral:rRNA from 1 species